AUGGAGGCUGUUCUUGUGAGCGUCUCCACCGGAGUCAUGAAGCCGCUGCUCGCCAAGCUCUCCAAGCUGCUGGAGCAAGAGUACGGCAGGAUCAAAGGCGUGCACCACCAAAUCGCCUUCCUGAGGGACGAGCUGGGCGGCAUGAAGGCCGCGCUGGAGACGCUCGCGGACGCGGAGCAGCUCGACGCUCUCAAGGAGGAGUGGCGGGACAUGGUGCGCGAGCUUGCCUACGACGUCGAAGACUGCAUCGACGUCGGGGUAGACCAUGAGCACGAUGAAGAAGAAGAAGAACCCACAGCCACAGGCUUCAUCAAAGGGUUCUUCCGCAAAUUCAAGAAGCUCAAGGCUCGCCGGGAGCUUGCUGGCCAGAUCCAGCAGCUCAAAAGUCGUGCAACCGAAGCGAGUGAGCGGCACAAGAGGUAUAAUUUCGUCGAUCCGGCGCCCAAUUCUAGCACCUGUGCCAUUGACCCUCGGCUGCCGGCGCUCUACGAGGAUGUGGAUAAGCUUGUAGGCAUCCAUGGCCCAAGGGAGCACAUUAUUGAGUGGUUUAGCAGGAAGGAACAUGAUGAGGACCUCAAGGUGUUGGCCGUUGUGGGUUCUGGGGGCCUUGGUAAGACUACUCUCGCCAACCAAGUCUACCGUCAACUGAAACCGCAAUUCCAGUGCUCUGCUUUUGUGUCGGUGUCCCGAAAUCCACACAUCAAAAUGGUUUUCAGACAAAUACUUACUGAAUUAGGGGUCACUGAUUACUCGUUGGACGAUGAGCGGCACCUUGUUGACAGGAUAAGAGACUACCUCGGUGAUAAAAGGUAUUUUAUUGUCGUUGACGACGUAUGGGAUGCGGAUACAUGGAAAGCUAUCAGCCUUGCUUUGUUCAAUAACAGAUGUGGUAGCAAAGUUAUCACGACAACACGUAAUGUUGCGGUUGCAUCACUCUGUUCGUCUGAUGGUGGUUAUGUUUAUCGAAUGGGGGCUCUUAGUUUCUCUGACUCCAGAAGGUUACUUUUUAAAAGAGCAUUUGGCUCCGAGGAAGUAUGCUAUCCUCACCUGGAAGAGGUUUCUCGUGAGAUAUUAGAAAAAUGUGGUGGACUGCCACUAGCAAUUGUUACUAUAUCCAGCUUGUUAGCUGGGCAACAUGCACAAGAUGAAUGGGGGAGGGUCCUAACUGCUAUUGGUUGUUCACUUGCCAAGGAUCCUGAUGCUGUUAAUAUGACCAAGAUACUGUCACUAAGUUACUCUGAUCUUCCUCACCAUCUCAGAGCUUGUUUGCUCUACUUGAGUGUGUUCCCAGAAGAUUCAAGGAUCAACAAGCAACGGCUGAUAAGUAGAUGGAUCGCCGAAGGAUUCGCUCAUCAAGAACAGGGACGAAGUGCAUAUGAAACAUGCGAGAGUUACUUUAAUGAUCUCAUCAACAGAAGCUUGAUCCAGCCGGUUGAUGUUGUGUAUGGCCAAGCAGAGGCAUGUCAAGUUCACGACAUCGUUCAUGAUUUCAUCACAUGCAAGGCCGCUGAAGAGAACUUUGUCACCUCAAUCAAUGAUGCUGAGUGUGGACACAUUUCGGGUUAUAGGGUCCGCAGGCUUUCUGUCAGUAAUCACAGCGAAGAGGCCAUCUUGUCGACAAGCCUUAUGCUCUCUCAUGUUCGAUCACUUACUAUAUUUAGGGGUUUCAUGCCAAAGUCUUUGUUGGCUUUUCCCACUCUGCGUGUGCUAGACCUAGGAGAAUGCUGGAGGUUGGAAGACCAUCAUAUCGCAAAUAUUGAAAAGCUAUUUCUUCUGAAGUACUUGCGUCUUGGGAUGUACUUGCACCUGGGACAAUCUAGAAUAACUGAGCUCCCAAGAAAAAUCGGGCAACUGCGGUAUUUGGAAACACUGGACAUACAAGGCACGAGGAUCAUAGAGCUGCCGUCAACCAUUACAAAUCUUCAACGAUUGGUCCGUCUCUAUGUGCAUCACCGCACUAGAUUUCCGGAUGGGAUAAUUGGAAAGUUGCAGAACUUAGAAGAGCUGCAUGAGUUUGGUGUAUCCUCCUACAAACAAGGAAAUUCUUUGCAAGAAUUUGGUCAGCUAACCAAGCUGAGGACGUUGAAAGUGGCAUGGAGUAUCAAUGUGGAAUGCUCAGCACAAGGAAGAAGCCAAGAUGAGGACCUUCAAAGUUAUGUGGGAACUUUGAUAGCCUCUCGCAACCUUCGUCAUCUAUACAUCCUUAGCGCCCAUGGCACUGCUCCGGCACCUUACCAUAUACUGUCACUGGAGUCGUGGUGCCCUACAACUCCUUGUAGCCUCCAGAAGCUCCACCUUACGUACGGGUACGUCGAUAAGGUUCCGAAUUGGAUGAGUUCGCUUGGGAAUCUCAGGGAAUUAAACAUCAAUAUCUUCAGCAUGAGACCGGAAGAUGUUGCAAUCAUUGGAGCAAUACCCACUUUGCUUGUUCUUCAACUAAGGACAUUUUACGGCACAGAUGGAAGCAUUGUCAUCUCUGGGUUCACAAGUUUGAAAUAUUUCUACCUGGAAAACAAGGUUUGUGGGACCUGGCUGGAGUUUGAAGCAGGAUCAAUGCCAAAGCUUGAACACCUGAAGCUGGAGUUCGCUGUGCAUAAGAUGGGCAGCCUGAAUGGCCCUUCUGAUUUUGGCAUCCAGCACCUCUCUGCCCUCACCAGAGUUGAGGUUAUUAUUCAUGGCGACUCUGACGGAAGCUACCGCGUGGCUGCAGAUAAGGCUGCAAGCCUUAUCGAAACAGCUGUUGGGACACUUCCCAGCCGUCCCACUCUUUCAUUACUACAUGAAUGUGACCCAUUUCUGCACAUCUUAGAAAACACUGCAGGGUUGGACGACACCGACGAAGAGGAAGAGGAAGAGGGGGAGGAGGAGGAAGAGGAAGAAGGAAUUGUUGUGCUGUUUUAG
rnacentral:rRNA from 1 species